UACGUAGGGUGCGAGCGUUGUCCGGAAUUAUUGGGCGUAAAGAGCUUGUAGGCGGUCUGUCGCGUCUGCUGUGAAAAUCCGGGGCUCAACCCCGGACUUGCAGUGGGUACGGGCAGACUAGAGUGUGGUAGGGGAGACUGGAAUUCCUGGUGUAGCGGUGAAAUGCGCAGAUAUCAGGAGGAACACCGAUGGCGAAGGCAGGUCUCUGGGCAACUACUGACGCUGAGAAGCGAAAGCAUGGGGAGCGAACAGG
rnacentral:rRNA from 1 species